rnacentral:pre_miRNA from 1 species
AAUAAGUGUAAUUUUACACCGUUUAUGUCCAACGUUGACUGUUCGUCUUAUUUGAAAAUUUAUUAUUAUUAUUAUUAUUAUUAUUAUUAUUAUUAUUAUUAGAUGAUAAAACAUGAAUAUUAUUUUAUGUGUAACUAAUUUUUUUAAAUUUCUCAUUAAUUUUUCAAAUAAGACGGACGAUUAAACAUUGUACACGGAUACCCACAACUGCAAUUAUU